rnacentral:lncRNA from 1 species
UCAGCAAAGCAAGAUUGGACGGUCCAGAUCUCUAAAGUACGUCAGCACACAGAAACCCUAGCCGCACUCCCGACCCAGCCGACCACACCGUCUCCUCGCGUUCUCUCUCACGAGAGGAGAAAUCAGCGAAGAAAGCACCGCCGCUUCACCCGCGUCGCCUCCUCCGCCGCCAUCCCUUUUCCUCCCUCUAACUCCCUAAUUCCGCCGAGCUUCUUCGCCGCAACCACCAUUCGUCGUCCAAGUUUCAUCGUCUGUUGGAUCCAGCGCCUCACAGGUUCUGAUCGAUUCCGCUGGCCAUCGGUGCUUCCUCCACAUCCAGACCAUGACCCAUCAACUCUUGGACUGAUCCCAUAUCGACCUGCACAACAAGGGGAUAGCUUUAGCAGCAUCCAGUACUAGCUCAUGUGCAAAAUUGCUAUGGAUAAACGUUAUGAUGUGAUGUUUUUAUCGAGCUAAAGCACUACAUUUCUUUGCAACGCAAGUUCUAUUGAAGAGAUCCGUUUGUACAUAUGUCAGACCACCUUCUAAUUGCGCUUUAUAACCACUUAGUUUCCCUAAUAUAAUCCACUGUACGCAUGCGCCACUUUUCUGUGGUUGCUAUUUUUGCUCAAGUGUACAUGAUCAUACAGAUAGCACUCCAAACAAACCGAUCAAAACAACUCAUAUUUGAACUUUGGUGGUAUGGUUCGAAUGU